AAAUAGAUACCCCGUGGUAGUCCACGACCGUAAACGAUGAGUGCUAAGUGUUAGAGGUUUACCGCCCUUAGUGCUGCAGCUAACGCAUUAAGCACUCCGCCUGGGGGAGUACGGUCGCAAGACUGAAACUCAAAGGAAUUGACGGGGGCCCGCACAAGCGGUGGAGCAUGUGGUUUAAUUCGAAGCAACGCGAAGAACCUUACCAGGUCUUGACAUUCCUCUGACAACUCUAGAGUAUAGAGCGUUCCCCUUCCGGGGACAGAGUGACAGGUGGUGCAUGGUUGUCGUCAGCUCGUGUCGUGAGAUGUUGGGUUAAGUCCCGCAACGUAGCGUCAACCCUUGAUCUUAGUUGCCAGCAUUAAGUUGGGCACUCUAAGGUGACUGCCGGUGACAAACCGGAGGAAGGUGGGGAUGACGUCAAUCAUCAUGCCCCUUAUGACCUGGGCUACACACGUGCUACAUGGAUGGUACAAAGGGCUGCAAGACCGCGAGUCAAGCCAAUCCCAUAAACCAUUCUCAGUUCGGAUUGUAGG
rnacentral:rRNA from 1 species